AGUGUCUCCUGAUGAUCGGGACAA
rnacentral:miRNA from 2 species